GACGUAGGGUGCGAGCGUUGUCCGGAUUUAUUGGGCGUAAAGAGCUCGUAGGCGGCUCGUCGCGUCGACCGUGAAAACCCGCGGCUUAACUGCGGGCUUGCGGUUGAUACGGGCGGGCUAGAGUUCGGUAGGGGAGACUGGAAUUCCUGGUGUAGCGGUGAAAUGCGCAGAUAUCAGGAGGAACACCGGUGGCGAAGGCGGCCCUCUGGACCGGUACUGACGCUGAUGCGCGAAAGCGUGGGGAGCAAACGGG
rnacentral:rRNA from 1 species